GACGAACGCUGGCGGCGUGCUUAACACAUGCAAGUCGAACGGAAAGGCCCCCACCUUGGUGGGGGUGCUCGAGUGGCGAACGGGUGAGUAACACGUGGGUGAUCUGCCCUGUACUUCGGGAUAAGCUUGGGAAACUGGGUCUAAUACCGGAUAGGACCAUGGUUUAGUGUCUCAUGGUGGAAAGAUUAUUGUUUUGGUGCAGGAUGAGCUCGCGGCCUAUCAGCUUGUUGGUGGGGUAAUGGCCUACCAAGGCGUCGACGGGUAGCCGGCCUGAGAGGGUGGACGGCCACAUUGGGACUGAGAUACGGCCCAGACUCCUACGGGAGGCAGCAGUGGGGAAUAUUGCACAAUGGGCGCAAGCCUGAUGCAGCGACGCCGCGUGGGGGAUGACGGCCUUCGGGUUGUAAACUCCUUUCGUUAGGGACGAAGCCACAUUUUU
rnacentral:rRNA from 1 species